rnacentral:rRNA from 1 species
CAGCAGCCACGGUAAAACGAAGGGUGCAAGCGUUAAUCGGAAUUACUGGGCGUAAAGCGUGCGCAGGCGGUUGUGUAAGACAGGUGUGAAAUCCCCGGGCUUAACCUGGGAACUGCGCUUGUGACUGCACAGCUAGAGUAUGGCAGAGGGGGGUGGAAUUCCACGUGUAGCAGUGAAAUGCGUAGAGAUGUGGAGGAACACCGAUGGCGAAGGCAGCCCCCUGGGCCAAUACUGACGCUCAUGCACGAAAGCGUGGGGAGCAAACAGGAUUAGAUACCCCCGUAGUCCCUGUCUCUUAUAC